UAGCGGCGGACGGGUGAGUAAUGCUUAGGAAUCUGCCUAUUAGUGGGGGACAACAUUCCGAAAGGAAUGCUAAUACCGCAUACGCCCUACGGGGGAAAGCAGGGGAUCUUCGGACCUUGCGCUAAUAGAUGAGCCUAAGUCAGAUUAGCUAGUUGGUGGGGUAAAGGCCUACCAAGGCGACGAUCUGUAGCGGGUCUGAGAGGAUGAUCCGCCACACUGGGACUGAGACACGGCCCAGACUCCUACGGGAGGCAGCAGUGGGGAAUAUUGGACAAUGGGGGGAACCCUGAUCCAGCCAUGCCGCGUGUGUGAAGAAGGCCUUUUGGUUGUAAAGCACUUUAAGCGAGGAGGAGGCUACUGGUAUUAAUACUACCGGAUAGUGGACGUUACUCGCAGAAUAAGCACCGGCUAACUCUGUGCCAGCAGCCGCGGUAAUACAGAGGGUGCGAGCGUUAAUCGGAUUUACUGGGCGUAAAGCGUGCGUAGGCGGCUUUUUAAGUCGGAUGUGAAAUCCCUGAGCUUAACUUAGGAAUUGCAUUCGAUACUGGGAAGCUAGAGUAUGGGAGAGGAUGGUAGAAUUCCAGGUGUAGCGGUGAAAUGCGUAGAGAUCUGGAGGAAUACCGAUGGCGAAGGCAGCCAUCUGGCCUAAUACUGACGCUGAGGUACGAAAGCAUGGGGAGCAAACAGGAUUAGAUACCCUGGUAGUCCAUGCCGUAAACGAUGUCUACUAGCCGUUGGGGCCUUUGAGGCUUUAGUGGCGCAGCUAACGCGAUAAGUAGACCGCCUGGGGAGUACGGUCG
rnacentral:rRNA from 1 species